AUACGUAGGGGGCUAGCGUUAUCCGGAAUUACUGGGCGUAAAGGGUGCGCAGGCGGCCAUUUAAGUCAGCGGUUAAAUCGUGGGGCUCAACCCCAUUCUGCCGUUGAUACUGGGUGGCUUGAUUGCGGUCGAGGUUGGCGGAAUUCGUUGUGUAGCGGUGAAAUGCAUAGAUAUGACGAAGAACACCGAUUGCGUAGGCAGCUGACCAGAUCGCAAAUGACGCUCAUGCACGAAAGUGCGGGGAUCGAACAGGAUUAGAUACCCUGGUAGUCCGCACAGUAAACGAUGAAUACUUGUUUUCGGCGAUAUAAUGUCGGAGGCAAAGCGAAAGCGAUAAGUAUUCCACCUGGGGAGUACGCCGGCAACGGUGAAACUCAAAGGAAUUGACGGGG
rnacentral:rRNA from 1 species